UAGGGAAUCUUCGGCAAUGGACGAAAGUCUGACCGAGCAACGCCGCGUGAGUGAAGAAGGUUUUCGGAUCGUAAAACUCUGGUGUUAGAGAAGAACAAGGACGUUAGUAACUGAACGUCCCCUGACGGUAUCUAACCAGAAAGCCACGGCUAACUACGUGCCAGCAGCCGCGGUAAUACGUAGGUGGCAAGCGUUGUCCGGAUUUAUUGGGCGUAAAGCGAGCGCAGGCGGUUUCUUAAGUCUGAUGUGAAAGCCCCCGGCUCAACCGGGGAGGGUCAUUGGAAACUGGGAGACUUGAGUGCAGAAGAGGAGAGUGGAAUUCCGUGUGUAGCGGUGAAAUGCGUAGAUAUGUGGAGGAACACCAGUGGCGAAGGCGGCUCUCUGGUCUGUAACUGACGCUGAGGCUCGAAAGCGUGGGGAGCAAACAGG
rnacentral:rRNA from 1 species